CCUACGGGUGGCAGCAGUCGAGAAUCAUUCACAAUGGGGGAAACCCUGAUGGUGCGACGCCGCGUGGGGGAAUGAAGGUCUUCGGAUUGUAAACCCCUGUCAUGUGGGAGCAAAUUAAAAAGAUAGUACCACAAGAGGAAGAGACGGCUAACUCUGUGCCAGCAGCCGCGGUAAUACAGAGGUCUCAAGCGUUGUUCGGAAUCACUGGGCGUAAAGGGUGCGUAGGCGGUUUCGUAAGUCGUGUGUGAAAGGCGCGGGCUCAACCCGCGGACGGCAGAUGAUACUGCGAGACUAGAGUAAUGGAGGGGGAACCGGAAUUCGCGGUGUAGCAGUGAAAUGUGUAGAUAUCGAGAGGAACACUCGUGGCGAAGGCGGGUUCCUGGACAUUAACUGACGCUGAGGCACGAAGGCCAGGGGAGCGAAAGGGAUUAGAUACCCGAGUAGUC
rnacentral:rRNA from 1 species